rnacentral:tRNA from 1 species
AAUAAAGUGCCUGAAUAAAGGAUUAUUCUGAUAGAAUAAAUUAUAUAAACUAAACAUUUAUCUUUAUUA